AGCCACAAGUCAGUAUUUGUGGUCCAACCUGCCCAAUGUAUUAGAAUUAAUAUGAAUGGCCGCGGUACCCUGACCGUGCUAAGGUAGCGUAAUCAGUUGGCUUUUAAAUGGAGUCAGGUAUGAAUGGAAAAACCGGGUUUAGCUGUCUCCUAAUUACUACAUUGAAUUUACUGUUUAAGUGAAAAAGCUUAAGUUUUGAAAAGGGAAGAGAAGACCCUUAGAAUUUUUUCUAAAGUAAGAUUAUUUCUAUAACGAUUUUGUUGGGGCGACAAAGAAAUAUUUUACAACUUUCUUUUUUAUACGUGCCGAUUGUAUUAAGUAAGGAUAAAUUACCUGAGGGAUAACAGCAUAAUUCUACAGAUGAGUUUGUGACCUCGAUGUUGGACUAGGGAACUAACAAGCUAGCCGCUUGUUG
rnacentral:rRNA from 1 species